rnacentral:piRNA from 2 species
UCAGUCUCAUAAUCUGAAGGUCGUGAG